GAUGAGUCAUUUAUUCAUUGUGAAUCUUUGAACUACGAGUGGCUUGAUUCCCGCAAGGGAUACGUAGGCAUCCUGAGGUUGAACUUGGGAGCAGUUGCAAAAUCAAACACACACGUUCUGUUUCUUUAUGAUGGAAUCAAAGGGUGUUCCCUUGAAGCAAGGGAUUGUAAUUAAGAGACUUGCGUCUCGAAUGGGUCGAACC
rnacentral:lncRNA from 1 species